rnacentral:lncRNA from 1 species
CUUUAUAGAACCAAAAAGAUCUUCAUUUUCAAAUGGAAAUAGCCCCCUCCUGCCAAAAAAAGAAGAAGAAGAAAAAAAAGAAACCAUGUCUUCAAUUCCUUUAACCAAAUCAAGCAGGUAUCGUGGUUUUGCAGCUUUACAUUAGGUUAAUGUAAAGGCUGUGUUCAUUUCACUUACUGUAUAAUUAGGAUUUGAGUCCAAAUCCCAGAGUGCAUAUGACAGGGAUUUUCUUAAGGCGACUAUCUGCUCUUCUCAAAAUGGUCUUCUUAUUACUUGUGUUUCUAAAAUCAGGAAAGUGAGUAUAAACAAACAAUAGAUGACCUUUAUGAGUAAAACAUCUGAGCACAGAAAGAUUAAUCGACCUCCAUCAGCCAGUCAUUAAAUCAAAUAGGAGCUUUUCUUGUACUUUUAAACCUCCGAUUUACAGUCAGGCCAAUUGUGUAAAAAGGCUGGUAAUACAGUGACGCCCAAUGCCACUGGGCUUUAGAAAGCUGACAGUUCCUGUAAAAUAGUCAUUAAACAACCUCUAGAAGAGACUCAUCAGCAGAUGCCCCCAGGUGAAGGAGAGAGAAAGCUGAGAGAAUGAAGGAGAAUCUAACAUCUUAGCAUGACGGAAUUAAGCAGAGCAUAUUAUGCUGAUUUCCAGAGCCAGCCCAGUGAUUUAAUUUUCAGAGCAGUUCCUUUGAUUGUAGCAACCAUUUUAUGAAACAUUAAUAAAACUUUGUGUGUGCGUGUAACACACAUCUCUUUUCCAUUUCAUUAAGAAAAAGGAGUCAACAUAUUUAAAUUUGCUGACCAUUAAUUCUGUAAAUGCCAAAAAAAUUUUGCUGUUGUUGUUGUUGUUAUUUUUGAAAAAGCGAAGAAGCAGAAUGAUAUAGCUCCCAUUGUAUUAUUCCUUAGUAAGCACAAAACAGGGAAAAAGAAAUAAAGUACAUAAAGUUAUUACAUGUAAGUCCAUAGGAUUUUACAUUAAGACUCUGAGCUAAAUCACUACUGUAAUGUAUAAUCCAAAUGUGAUUUUUGUACCUCCUGUAUAAUGAUGUCUACUGUGCAUCCAAAUUAAUUGUUGUAGAAUACACAUUGCCCUGUAUACUAAGUGUUUAUCAAAGACUUCUAAGACAAAUACAUAUUUCUGGAUCCAGAUACCCAGUGGAAAGUUGUGUCUAAUGAUUUUUGUUAUACAUUUUAAGUAAUAGAGAUUCACAGAUAUGAAUGUUUUAAAGAAGAAAGGGACCUUUAAAUAAUUAAUACAGAUGUGCCUUACUUUGCAGAAUAGGUAUAUUCCUGAAAUAUGCAUCAUAAAACUAUUUUCCUUGCAAGUUAACUUAUAUUUUCUCAUUUAUUUCCAUCAUAAAACUAAAGAUCCAUUCUCACUGAAGUAAUUUUUGGCUCAAAGACAAUGAUCACAUUUAAGAAUGAAUCAACCCUUUUAAAUCAGUGGUAAAUUUUAUAUUCAAAUCUAGUAAUUAUCCUUUGCCUGAGCUUUUUGUCACAAUUCUCUCUUGUCUUUCAUGACACAACCCUUAUUAUUUUAACUUUAUUGUUAGAUGCCUUGUAUUCCCCACUCUACCUUAUUUUUAAAGAAAUAAGCAUACAGAAAUGAUAAAUAAAUCAGAAUAUUCUUGCAAAGUAACACAUAAAUAUAAACAAGAUUUUUGUUAAUAAGUAGUUUUUUUUUAAAAGCCCACACUGUCAGUCACAGCAAGAAUAUGAAUAAUGUCACAGCUAAAGCAGCUCUAGAGGACAUAAGGGUCCCAGAGACCUGGGUUCACCACCAAUGCUGCAGAUGACUCACCACAGACCUGUCUGGGUACUUAGCCUCUCUGGGACUUGGUUUCCUCAUCCUUAAAAUGCAAAGGUCACAUAAACGUUCCCCCCCACACCCCCAUCAUUAUAGCUCUGGGGCCUGGUUAGUACUUUCUAUGGUUCUUGACAUCUUUAUUAAUAAAAAUGAUCUUGUUAAACUUUUGGUAGUCUUUCUUCAUGGCAAGAUAGAUGCCACCAAAAAAAACCAUGGCCACUCUUAUAUGCAAGAGAGCCAUUUCGCAAAUUCUGUGUGUGUGUGUGUGUGUGUGUGUGUGUCCGUGUUUAAUGGAUAUUACUAGUAUAUAUAAAAGUCUGCAAAGGAUUGUCAGAAUUUGCUUCAUUUCAUUACACCAAACAUGUUAAUUAACUCUUUGAGUUCUAUAUUCUUACAAAAUGAAUAACCUGUUGGCAAAAUCAUAAAGGUUCACAUUUAAGCCCAUACCUUAGGCACUUGCUAAUCACCAACUGCAGAAUACCCAUAAGAUUAAGCAUCACACAUUCACGGAAGGAAGGAAAUGGAAGUCAGUUGUUUAACUGACUUUCAUCUGGGAGAGAUUUUAUUAAGAGCCUCUUUCCUAUAUGCCAAGAUAUGAAUGCUUGAGUAUAAUUCAAUUUUAUACAAAAGAAAAUUCCAUUCAAAUCUAAAGAUAGAAUAUUUCUAUUCCAAGUUACUUUCCACUGAAUUACUGAGAAGAAUUGAAAGAUAGCAAUCCAAAGUUCUAAAUGUAUGAAACAAGUCUUCAAACAGUUGAAAAAUAACAUUCGCAAAUUCUUGGGGUCAUGGAUGACAUUGGAAUAAGGCCAAUCGUUCAGCCAGUUAAAGUUAAUUCCAUGGUGUGUAGUGGGAAUACGGGCAUCUUGAACAUACUGGUAACAAACUGGGUUGGUGUGUGUGGUCAUUUUCCUGGGAUUCUUUUAAAAGGGAAGCGUAGUGAAGGACCCCCAAAUGGCAGCCCCAAGAUACACAAUCUACUGGGCUACACUUUUUUCAAAAGUUUAAUCUCCAUUGUUAGUCCUAUGAAGAACAGCCCUGCCCUCUCUAUUUUCUUACAGAGCUGC